rnacentral:misc_RNA from 1 species
ACGUCAAUUCAUUCCUAUACAAACACUUCCUCGCAACCUCCAACUGUUCCAUAAUAAAUAAUAAAUCCAUUUGAGUACUAAGGAGUCCUAAAGCCCUGCUCCGUCUCAGUCAAUAGAUAUAAUUCAUCUCUUACUCAUUCGAGGUGGGAAAAAAAAGAAGAAGAAAGAAUAGGAGGAGAGAGGGAGGCUGCUACCCAUUACGCCAGAAUAUGAGAUGCGCAUUUUCACUUCUCGAGUAAUCUCCUCCUGCUCAUUCAUCUUUAGGGGGGAAAAACUAUGUGUACCUUUGAGCCUUCAUAUGUAGCAACAACCUACCUACUAUUUUUGUUAUUUUGACAAGUGUGUGUAUUUGUGAUUCGGAUUUAAUGUAAUAAUAAAUGAUAGUAAUACAUUUGAUAGCCUGAUUUACUAACCUCUACUGUUUUUUGCAAUCAAUUGCAUUGAAUAAAUUUCGAUUGGGUGAUGUACAUAGAAGGAUGCUAUUGUAUUUUGAUGAUGAUAUAAUCAUUCAUACAAAUGUACACAUUUAUAAUGACGUAAUGAACUAUUUCUUUUGAUAGAAAAAUCUGUAAUAAGGACUAGGACUAAUGCUCCAGUUUCCCCACUUAUUAUUUGCUGUUGUGAAAGAAAGAAAGUGAUUCUCUCGUAAAGUACACAUUUGUUAAAAUUUCAAGGAUUGCUCUCAAACCCCCCCUAAAAUUGAGGAUACAAUGGAUACGUAGGUUACGCCCUUAAAAAGGAUCUGCUUUUUUGAAAUGUAGAAACGAAAGAAAAUAUGCGAAUAUUCAACAUCCAUCAAUCAUUGCAUUUGUAUCAUAUGUUCCUUCAAUCCAAACCACUGCAAGAAAAUCAGGAGAAGUAGAAAAUGACAUCAGAUAAUAGUAAUGUCAUUUUCUAUAUGAAACUUAUGCAUGAGCUCAAGGCAGAGUAUCCUAAUGUCCCAGAUGAGGCUGUAAAGGACACAAUCAUAAAGUAUUGUGGGGAUAAGGAACUUUGCAUCCGGGAAUUAUCAGCCCAGUCUCUGUUUCUAUCACGUUCCAAGAGAGCAAUGAAGGAGGGAAAAUUUUCAACGCAAAGAGGUAAGACUACUACCGCCAUGGUCUCUUCAAGUUCAAUUCUUGUGUCAUCAAGUUCCACAUUUUUGACUUCUACUACAACCUCUGCUAAAGCAACUAUCGUUCAACAAACUUCAAAAUGUAAUCGCUCUUGUCGAGAAAAUCCUUAUAGUAAAAUAUUUGCCAGGAGGAAAAUGUUUUAUCAAAAAUUUUGUGAAACAAAUGGCAGCUUAGAGGAGGAUAGUCGGUUUUUCUCAUCUUCCAAUUUGGUCUGGCGGAGAAAAUGCUCACUCUGUGAUGGUAAUGGUGGAAGUGGAGAAGAGUCUCAUUCGAUACUUAACAUGAAGAAAAAGGCUCCCGAUAAAAAUGCCAAUUUUAUUACCCUUAAUGCUAAUAUUCAACCCUUUGCACCCUUUAUUAUUCGGCAUGAUUCCGAGGGAGCAGUGCCUGGAGCUCUCACACUAUUAAACUCCUUAAAUCAUCUUCAUCAUGAUAGUUCAGGUCAUUCCUCCAUGGGGAGUAGCUUAGGCGCCAAUAGCGACAAGAUGGAAAUGAAUGUGGACGGUGGGAAGGUUCACUAUGCUACUAGCACUAUAAACUCUGAAGAAGGAGUCGAGUCACAUCUCGAAGUGUCUCUUGGUAAAACUGAGAGCUUCAUUACUACUACUCACACGGAUUUAACUAAUAAUCUAUCCAAUUCAUCCUCUUCCAUUUUUCAUCUACAAUAUGAAGAUGGAGGCAAAGUUCUCAAUAUAACUUCUAAUUUUAAUAAUUCUCCUGAUCCUAAGAGACGAAAACCUAUACGAGGCAAUGGUCCUUCAUUUCAAACUUCUCGUCCUGCCUCAUUAAAUCUUAAUUCCCUUUUUGCUCAUGGUGUAGUGGCCCGACCAUCUUCUGCAUACUGCACGCAAUUAAAUAAUCCUACAAUUGUCUCUCCACGCUACAAUUCAUUGCCGAAUCUCAAUAUGAAUGGUUUAAAUCAUCUUACAUGUUACUAUCCUGAAGAGUUUCAGUCCAAUCCAGCUGAUGAGGAAAAAAGAUUGGCUUAUACUCGUGCCUUACUCACUCAUCAAAUGGAGCAAUGUCUCAAAUUGGAUCAAGAGCUGCGUUCCGAGAGAAGCAAACUUAAUAACAUUCGUGAAGAGAUAGCUCUCAUUGAAGAAAGACGGAACAAAAAACGCCUUUUAAAACUAAAUGCUCAGCUCAAGAGAAAUGAGGGUAUUGAAAAAGAUAUCAAGAGUUUGAGAUACUCCUGUGAUACAUUGGCUGCAAAAGUUACAAAAAUUACAAAAGGAAAAGUCCCAUUAGGAGAAACGAAUGUGGAGUUUUAUGGAUUCCUAUCCCCCAAAUUGUCAGAUAAUAAGAAACCUUCACUACAAAUUAAAGAUGCGAAAGAACCAUUAAAUAAUUUAUCAAAGCUAAUUACUUCUCUAGAUCAGGAUAAAGGCAAUAAUAAUAAUAAUAACAAUUCACCGAUCAAUGACUCCGAAUCUUCUUCGAACAAUAUAAUUGCUCAAUGGGCCUGUACAGAAUGUACAUUUUUGAAUCAUCCUGCUCUUAAUCAUUGUGAAGAAUGUGAAAUGCCUCGAUUCUCAAUUGAAGGGAUCUACUGUUUCUGGGCCCUUGACUUUAUUGCCAGUGCUCAUUAUAAAGGAGGUAUUUGAAGCACUUGACAAAGUUCCAACUGCCUUUCAAAGUUCAGGAGGAAAUUAAUCCGAUGUCCAUCUCUAAUUCUACCCCAGAGUCCAACAAGGACUUACGUUUAUAACUUUAGAGAAAAACCUUCAAUGUCACUCAGUCUUUUAAGAUCACUAACACUAGUUAUUACUUUAUACAUGUCUCCUACGGCGAUAAUAUCCCCUUAUCCUCCAGGAAGUUAGUCCACUAUGUCGUGGGUGUGGUUUAAGCGAUGAAAACCCACUUCAUCUGGUGUAUGAAUGCCCUCAAUUUAUAAUUGAGGGGACACAGCUUUUGGACAAUUUUCGACCUUUUCAAAUACAUUCCGUCUCCAGCUUCUCCAGUUUCUUAAUGAAUUUGGAUAUCGGGCGCUGGAUGAACAAUGUACCAUCCCUUGAACACGUUCAGGACGAACUGCAGUAGGAUAUCUAAUCUGGUUGCUCCAAUCAAGAAAAUGUUCAACCCCUCAGUUUUAUGGGCAAGAAUAGCCUAUAGGAUAACUCUUCUGAUAUUUCUCCAAUGAUCAUAAAACGCAUGCAUUAUACUGAUAUCAUGAUCUUAGUACAAUUUUUAAUAUUAAAAAGUAUGACCUUAAUUAUUCAAAUGUAUGCUAUAACUUUUUUUUUUAUAUUAUAUAGUUGCAUACAUUAAACAAACCGUAUUUGACUAAUAUCCUUGUUUUUAUCGAAAUAAAUAAUAUAUAUUUUAUUCAGUA